rnacentral:rRNA from 1 species
GUCGAGCGCUUCCCUUCGGGGAGGAGCGGCGGACGGGUUAGUAACGCGUGGGAAUAUACCCAGUUCUAAGGAAUAGCCAUUGGAAACGAUGAGUAAUACCUUAUACGCCCUUCGGGGGAAAGAUUUAUCGGAAUUGGAUUAGCCCGCGUUAGAUUAGAUAGUUGGUGGGGUAACGGCCUACCAAGUCGACGAUCUAUAGCUGGUUUGAGAGGAUGAUCAGCCACACUGGAACUGAGACACGGUCCAGACUCCUACGGGAGGCAGCAGUGGGGAAUAUUGCACAAUGGGGGAAACCCUGAUGCAGCCAUGCCGCGUGUGUGAAGAAGGCCUUCGGGUUGUAAAGCACUUUCAGUUGUGAGGAAAGGUUGAUGGUUAAUACCCAUCAGCUGUGACGUUAGCAACAGAAGAAGGACCGGCUAACUCCGUGCCAGCAGCCGCGGUAAUACGGAGGGUCCGAGCGUUAAUCGGAAUUACUGGGCGUAAAGCGCACGCAGGCGGUUUGUUAAGCUAGAUGUGAAAGCCCUGGGCUCAACCUGGGAAUUGCAUUUAGAACUGGCAGGCUAGAGUUUUGGAGAGGGGAGUGGAAUUCCAGGUGUAGCGGUGAAAUGCGUAGAUAUCUGG